GGUCCUUGGACCUAGAGCGUCUCUAGGGGCCGCAUCCCCACCCACCUCCACCCACCCUCCCCUUGAAUUUGCAUCUCUGGCAGCCACAGCCCCAGUGACUCAGUCUGGAUCCUUGUUAAAGGCCCCAAGCUUGUCCCCAGGAGGCCUGGGGAAGCAGGCAGGCCCCUCUCCAGCUGCCAGCCCCUCCUGCAGGAGUCUGGGUCCCAGGGCCUCUUCCAGCUGCCCAGUCUUGAAAGCCUAAUAUGCAAUGACCUAAAAAUAAAUAUUUCUUUAAAUUCGAAAAUAUACUUCCAAUGGAUAUUUCACUGUGUGGAAGGACUACAAUAUGAAGUUAAGUACAGAUAGUCGCUAAGAGCGUGGGCAGUGAAGUAAGGAAAAGGAGGGCUCUACCCUGCUCUGCCACUCAAAAGCUGUGCCAUCAUAAGCAAGUUGCUUUAUGUCUCUGGAUGUUUCCCUGAGGAGAGAUUAGUUCCUACCUCCUAGGGCAAGAGCACUAAAUAAGAAAAUGAAUGUGAGGGGCACCUGGGUGGCUCAAUCAGUUCAGAGUGGAUUCUGGCUCAGGUCAUGAUCUCACGGUUGGUGAGUUUGAGCCCUGUAUCUGGCUCCUUGCUGAUGGUAUGGAGCUUGCUUGGGAUUCUGUCUCUCUGCCCCUUCUCUGCUCACUCUCUCUCAAAAAUAAACUUAAAAAAAAAAAAAAAAGAAAGAAAAUGAAUGUGAACUGCCUUGAAUUACAAGGCUGAGCAAGCAUACAGUAGGAGCUGUUUCAUAACAGUAAUAUUUUGCCAACUGUAUAGUAUUUUACAGGCUUCACAGCAGCUGCCUGGGCCACAAGGAAGUUCCUGGUAGAGAGGGAUCGGGCCCCCACACCCGCCCGGGGACCACAAGUUCCCAGACCAAAGAAACUGGCUGGGGCUCCGUUAGAAGGAAGCCCCCCAACCCACUUCCCAGGCGCUGGAUUCCAGGCGUCCCACCCACACACAGGUGCCGCUUUGAGCAGCUGGCUGCGAGUCUAUCGACAGGCUUUACCAUUUUAGGCGACACACUUCCUGGACCUCUGCCUUGCACUCUCAACACCCAGCUGUCACCUUGCCCUGGCCCCUGGAAGUCGCUCCUCUGCUUAGAAGCUGUACCACCAUGUCCCCUCACACUUAGGAGCGAAGGGUACCCGAGGCCCGGGCUCCAUCAGGGGCUCUCUCGGUCCCCGAGUGGUCCUCGUGCUCUCAGGCCAGCCUGGCCCGACCUGAGGGAACUGGAUGUGCUGGGGUGG